rnacentral:rRNA from 1 species
CGCGUAGGCGGCUUGUUAAGUGAGGUGUGAAAGCCCACGGCUCACCCGUGGAAGUGCAUUUCAUACUGGCAAGCUUGAGGAGUGCAGAGGUAAGUGGAAUUCUAGGUGUAGCGGUGACAUGCGCAGAUAUCUAGGAGAAGAUCGGUGGCGAAGGCGACUUACUGGGCACUACCUGACGCUGAGGCGCGAAAGCGUGGGGAGCAAACAGGAUUAGAUACCCUGGUAGUCC